rnacentral:siRNA from 1 species
UGGAGUAGAUGUUGUGGAUGGA